GCAUGUCGAACGAAGCACUUGUGCUUAGUGGCGAAUGGGUGAGUAACAAGUACUUAAUCUACCCUCAAGUCAGGGACAACAGUUGGAAAAGAAUGCUAAUACCGGAUAUGUAUUUCUAACGCAUGGUAGUUAUAUGAAAGGAGCUUUACAGCUUCGCUUAAGGAUGAGAGUGCGGUACAUUAGUUAGUUGGUAGGGUAAAGGCGUACCAAGACGAUGAUGUAUAGCUGGGUCGAGAGGCUGAAC
rnacentral:rRNA from 1 species